UUGAACGCUGGCGGCAGGCCUAACCCAUGCAAGUCGAGCGGAUGAAGGGAGCUUGCUCCUGGAUUCAGCGGCGGACGGGUGAGUAAUGCCUAGGAAUCUGCCUGGUAGUGGGGGAUAACGUCCGGAAACGGGCGCUAAUACCGCAUACGUCCUGAGGGAGAAAGUGGGGGAUCUUCGGACCUCACGCUAUCAGAUGAGCCUAGGUCGGAUUAGCUAGUUGGUGGGGUAAAGGCCUACCAAGGCGACGAUCCGUAACUGGUCUGAGAGGAUGAUCAGUCACACUGGAACUGAGACACGGUCCAGACUCCUACGGGGGGCAGCAGUGGGGAAUAUUGGACAAUGGGCGAAAGCCUGAUCCAGCCAUGCCGCGUGUGUGAAGAAGGUCUUCGGAUUGUAAAGCACUUUAAGUUGGGAGGAAGGGCAGUAAGUUAAUACCCUGCUGUUUUGACGUUACCAACAGAAUAAGCACCGGCUAACUUCGUG
rnacentral:rRNA from 1 species